rnacentral:misc_RNA from 1 species
AACGCAUAUUGCGCUCUCUGGUAUUCCGGAGAGCAUGCUUGUUUGAGUAUCAGUAAACACCCCUCAGAACUUUUUGAUUUUCGAAUCUUGGAGCUCUGGAUUUGAGUGAUCCCAACGCGUUCUUUCGCAGAACAUGGCGGGCCACUUGAAAUGCAGGUGCAGCUGGACUUUCUUCUGAGCUAAAAGCAUAUUUAUUUAGUCCUGUCAACACUUGUGUUGCGGAUUAUUACUUCUGCUGCAGCUAACAUAAAGGUUGAUUGUUCAAAUGCUGACUGAUGCAGGAUUUCUCAGUAGCGCAAGCUAUCUGUUAAACUCGAUCUCAAAUCAAGUAAGACUACCCGCUGAACUUAA